rnacentral:rRNA from 1 species
UUUAUUUAUUUUUAAAUAAUAAAAGUUUAACUCUGGUUUUUCAGGUGAAAAUAAUAGAUUUACAUUUUUAUAUUAGUAAUUUUUUUAUUUAUAAAAUAUAUAUUUUUAUAAGUUAAUAAUAUUGGUAAAUAUUAAAAAUAUCCCCAGUUAUUUAUUUUAGUUAGUGAAUUUAGUGCCAGCAUCUGCGGUUAUACUAUAAACAAAUCACUUUUAUUAAGUUAAAUUUUUAUAAAGGAAAUGUUUUUAUGCAAGUGAAAUUUUAUAUUUUAAUUUGUCUGUUUUAUAUAUGUAAAUAACGAAAACUAGGAUUAGAUACCCUAUUAUUGAAUUUAUAUCUUAAAGGAUUAAAGGUAAAAUUAAUGAGUUUGGCGGCUAUUUAAAUUAGAGGAACUUGUUUAUUAAUAGAUAAACCUCGUUUAUUUUUACUUUUAAUAGUUUUGUAUACCGUUAUUAAAAAAAUAUUUAAUAAAAAUUUUUUUAAUAGUUUUUGUUAUAUUAAAUCAAGGUGCAGAUAUUUAUAAGUUUAAAUUAGUUACAAUAAUUAUGUUUUUAGUAAAUACAAAAUUAAAGGUUGUUAGUUUAUUGGAUUUAAAGGUAAUAAAAAUAGAUGUGAACAUUUUAAUAGUGUACAAAUCGCCCGUCACUCUCUUUGAGACAAGUCGAAACAAAGUAGAUAUACCUGAAGGUGUAUCUG